CCUACGGGAGGCUGCAGUGGGGAAUAUUGGACAAUGGGGGGAACCCUGAUCCAGCCAUGCCGCGUGUGUGAAGAAGGCCCUCGGGUUGUAAAGCACUUUCAGUGAGGAAGAACGCCUGGUGGUUAAUACCCAUCAGGAAAGACAUCACUCACAGAAGAAGCACCGGCUAACUCCGUGCCAGCAGCCGCGGUAAUACGGAGGGUGCGAGCGUUAAUCGGAAUUACUGGGCGUAAAGCGCGCGUAGGUGGCUUGAUAAGUCGGUUGUGAAAGCCCCGGGCUCAACCUGGGAACGGCAUCCGGAACUGUCAAGCUAGAGGGCAGGAGAGGAAGGUAGAAUUCCCGGUGUAGCGGUGAAAUGCGUAGAGAUCGGGAGGAAUACCAGUGGCGAAGGCGGCCUUCUGGACUGACACUGACACUGAGGUGCGAAAGCGUGGGUAGCAAACAGGAUUAGAUACCCUGGUAGUC
rnacentral:rRNA from 1 species